UAAAAAUCCGGUUCUCAUACGAUCACCGAAGUUAAGCGACGGCGAGCUGGGACAGUAACUUGAUGGGUGACCGCUUGGGAAUAUAAGGUGCU